GGUGAUAAUAAAUAAACUCUGGUUUGGAUUAAGUCUGGAAGAUUCAAUAGACCGUCCACGCCUGCAUAAUGCUCUCUAUCCCAAUACAACCUACUACGAGACAAAAUACCAAGUCUCCAAGUCUGUUAGUGACGGUCUCAAGGCGCUUGGACACACUCUGAAAGGUUCGAAUUCGUUUUGCGCAGUACAAGGCGUCUAUAGGGACAAAUCGGGAAAAUUGUAUGCUAAAUCUGAUCCUAGAAAAGGUGGAGUGGCUGUGGUAUUGUGAGCGGAAAACGUCAUGUUUUGGUGUAGAUAUAACCAGUCUGUUCAAACAUAUAUGCAAUAAAUCAUCCUAACUAAGAAAAUUGUAAAUUUUUUAGCCUGGUUUCCAUAUGGUCGUAACGGUCGUAAAGAUUGAGUCAUGACCUUUCUCAUCCGAGACGAAAUACAAGAGAGGUUAAGAUACCCCGGUUUCGGUGUACGGGUACGAGUUGUGUCAUCUUGUUUUACUGAUGUCUGCAAUACGAUCAUACUUUUUCUGUUUUCUUGCAAUAGACAAUGAUAUAA